CCUACGGGAGGCAGCAGUGGGGAAUUUUGGACAAUGGGCGAAAGCCUGAUCCAGCAAUGCCGCGUGAGUGAAGAAGGCCUUCGGGUUGUAAAGCUCUUUUGUCAGGGAAGAAACGGUGCGGGCUAAUAUCCUGCACUAAUGACGGUACCUGAAGAAUAAGCACCGGCUAACUACGUGCCAGCAGCCGCGGUAAUACGUAGGGUGCAAGCGUUAAUCGGAAUUACUGGGCGUAAAGCGUGCGCAGGCGGUUUUGUAAGUCUGUCGUGAAAUCCCCGGGCUCAACCUGGGAAUUGCGAUGGAGACUGCAAGGCUAGAAUCUGGCAGAGGGGGGUAGAAUUCCACGUGUAGCAGUGAAAUGCGUAGAGAUGUGGAGGAACACCGAUGGCGAAGGCAGCCCCCUGGGUCAAGAUUGACGCUCAUGCACGAAAGCGUGGGGAGCAAACAGGAUUAGAUACCCUGGUAGUCCACGCCCUAAACGAUGUCUACUAGUUGUCGGGUUUUAAUUAACUUGGUAACGCAGCUAACGCGUGAAGUAGACCGCCUGGGGAGUACGGUCGCAAGAUUAAAACUUCAAAUUGUUAAGUUAGUUAGGCGUUGAGACGNGCGACGGACGACGACGAGGGAGGAGG
rnacentral:rRNA from 1 species